GGAGACUGCCGGUGAUAAACCGGAGGAAGGUGGGGAUGACGUCAAGUCAUCAUGGCCCUUACGGCCAGGGCUACACACGUGCUACAAUGGCGCAUACAAAGAGAAGCGACCUCGCGAGAGCAAGCGGACCUCAUAAAUGCGUCGUAGUCCGGAUCGGAGUCUGCAACUCGACUCCGUGAAGUCGGAAUCGCUAGUAAUCGUAGAUCAGAAUGCUACGGUGAAUACGUUCCCGGGCCUUGUACACACCGCCCGUCACACCAUGGGAGUGGGUUGCAAAAGAAGUAGGUAGCUUAACCUUCGGGAGGGCGCUUACCACUUUGUGAUUCAUGACUGGGGUGAAGUCGUAACAAGGUAACCAAGGGCGAAUUCUG
rnacentral:rRNA from 1 species